UUACGGUCAUAUCACGUUGAAGCUACCAGUUCCCGUACGACCACCGAAGUUAAUCAACGUCCAGCCUGGUGAGUACCAAGAUAGUUGAUCACUCUGGAACAGCAGGUGCUGUAAG